UACGUAGGGGGGCUAGCGUUGUCCGGAAUCAUUGGGCGUAAAGAGCGUGUAGGCGGCUAGAUAGGUCCGUUGUGAAAACUCGAGGCUCAACCUCGAGACGUCGAUGGAAACCAUCUGGCUAGAGUCCGGAAGAGGAGAGUGGAAUUCCUGGUGUAGCGGUGAAAUGCGCAGAUAUCAGGAAGAACACCCGUGGCGAAGGCGGCUCUCUGGUACGUGACUGACGCUGAGACGCGAAAGCGUGGGGAGCAAACAGG
rnacentral:rRNA from 1 species